GAAACUCACUUAUGCUGAAGUAGCAGCCUCUCUGGGUCCUCUUGGUGUCUGAACUCAAGUUUCAUCUUUUGAGUGAUCUUUCUCAUCCCCUAUGGAGCCACGGAUUAGCUUACUAUGGACACCCACGGAGUCGGAUGAUAGAGCGUCUGCACAUACCCUGGAGGCCAAAGGAUCUAGUCAAAAGUCUGGAGCUCACUGAAGUGUCAUGUGCAACUCCAUAUCAGGAGGCCCAUGGGCCUGCCCAUGGAAAACUGAAGCAUCUACCUAGGAAGAAUGAAGGGUCUGUGCCUGAAGCCAAAGUGUCUGUGCUGGAGAACAGGAUAUUAUGUCCAAGGUGAAGGUGAAGACUGGAGCUUCUCUGAAGAAACAGAAGAAGAUCCAUCCUACUUCAUUUUCCCUUUACACCAUCCAGAUCUGAGAACAGUGACAAUCAGCCCUGACAAAAUGGUCAAGAAAUUAUGCAGUUCCUUAUGACUUGGUGUCCGGAGCCCAUAUCCUGGAGUCAAUGCUUUAAGGGAGAAAACUGUAAAAAAAUAGUUACAAUGGAUGGAGAUACACAGGAAAGGAAGACUUUAUUUAGGAAUAUUGCAAUGGAGGAGAGAGAUGGAACUUGAUAACCCUAAAGUAAAAGGAGCAGAGGAUGUCUGCCCAUUUUCUGAUAUCAUCUUCAAUUUCUCGAAAAGAAGACAUUAUGGGGCAGUAUUGGGAGGAAUUAAUAGUUCACGCUGACUAGAAAGUAGAAUGAAUAAAGAGGAAUAUGAAAUGUUGGAGCUGUGAUAAACAGGGAUCGACCUCGGGUCCUUGAGCUUGCUCAGCAGGUGGCGAAACCACUGAGCUAAAUCCCCGACCCUAGCACCAAUAACUUUUUUCAAAGCCUAGAACCCUGGAAGAGAGGGAUCGAACUUGAGUCCUUGCCUUUGUGCAGCAGGCAACAAAACCACUGAGAGGAGACCACUGAGAUUCAGGGCUUCAUGAAGGCAGCACAACUGCUGGAUAGAGGCUCAAAGUGAGAGAAGGAGAUGUCAAAGUGGGAACCAGGACCCAAGAUUCUAUACCACCACCUACUGUCUCCUCUGAAACUUGCUUCUAUCUAAUGAGAAAAAAGACUGUACUUGCUAAGACCUCAGUCCUAACUGAUUUAUGGAAUGGAGUCCACAAACACUUAUUUGCUACACAGACCACCCCAUUCUGGUCAAUUGGCCUCUGAAGAGUAGAGAGAGCCCCAUGCAGAACCCUGUGUUGAAUUUCUACCAUUGUCCCUGAGAAGAGAAAGGUAAUAAUGCUGAGAAAACUAGACCCAGGAAAUGAAUCAUUGUUGGCAUGACCCAGAGACAACUGAAUUAAACCUCCCAAGACCCCAAAUGACUCUUCAGUGCAGUCAAAACAAGAUACCAGCGGAACUGGCAGCAGCUGGACUCAGAUUCUUGGCACAUCAUAGAUGCACCAUCAGCCCUUUGGCUACACUGUACAUCACUUGCAAGCAAGAAAACUCAGCCAGUGAUAUUUGGCGUACUGAACUUGAUGGAGCCACGUGAUAUGGGAAACCCGAUUUUGGCCAUUGGGAGCUGUCCAUUAACUGGGUUACAUGGCAUAACUCCUGAGAAUAACUCAGAUAGAAAAGAACCAAAAAAGACUGGUUUAACUGCUGGAGACUUGGCAAUCACAGAAGAAUUUCCCCUUGGAAAGGGCAAGAAGCACUCAGACCUGGAAGGAAAUGUUAAUUUCAUAUGGAGAAACCUGAGUAAACCAGUGCUUUGGGAAUAAGCAGUUAAAAGACAACGCAUUGUGAGACCUAAAGUCACAGUUGGUAAUUCAGGUUAUCUGGCCUCUUCCUCUACUUUACAUACCAGGAAACUGACCUCUCAAGAGGUGAAGUGCUGUAAUCAAGGCCCCCUGGAUUAUCAACCUGGAUCAGAACCUAGGUGAGAAGAACCUCUGACCCAAAAUGGUCUCAACAGAGUCCUUGGCUUUUUUCUUAAGGAUGGUGAAGUCGUUUCUUGGAUUGGAGCCAGCAGAGGAUAGCUCACUACUUACUUAAGUGACAGCACUUCAGGACACCAGUGUUCUGGAGUUUUAGCAUGCCAGAGGAGUAACAAGGAGUAAGAAUAAUCAAUCAUUGCUCAGAUCAUCUAAAUGAUUCCCAGGAAACAAAAGACCAGGCAGGACUGUGCUUAAUUCAUACUAGAUUCUCAAAAUAUUUCUCUGUGUGUUCUGGAAUCUUUUAAUGCUGUCUCAUAUAUUUCCCUAGCUUUGGAGGAAAGCUGAGGGUUUUUUUCUAAAGAUUGAUUCACUGUCAGGGAGACUUCAUUAAAUCAUAU
ensembl:lncRNA